GCCGGUAUGGCGCAACAGGGAGCGCUGCGGAUUUGUAAUCAGAUGGUUGCGGGUUCGACUCCUGCUGCCGGCACCA
rnacentral:tRNA from 1 species